AUUCGAUUGUGCCAGCAGCCGCGGUAAUACGUAGGGGGCAAGCGUUAUCCGGAAUUACUGGGUGUAAAGGGUGAGUAGGCGGCAGAAUAAGUCAUAUGUGAAAUCCCACGGCUUAACCGAGGGACUGCAUAAGAAACUGUUUUGCUAGAGUACAGGAGAGGUAAGCGGAAUUCCUAGUGUAGCGGUGAAAUGCGUAGAUAUUAGGAAGAACACCAGUGGCGAAGGCGGCUUACUGGACUGUUACUGACGCUGAGUCACGAAAGCGUGGGGAGCGAACAGGAUUAGAUACCCUGGUAGUCCACGCUGUAAACGAUGAGUGCUAGGUGUUGGGGCGAGAGCCUCGGUGCCGCAGCUAACGCAAUAAGCACUCCACCUGGGGAGUACGGUCGCAAGAUG
rnacentral:rRNA from 1 species